rnacentral:lncRNA from 1 species
CAUGAGGAUAAGGAAAAAAGACGCGUCCAUCUCUAAAGAGUGAAUAAAAAUGCAGAGGAUAGAAAAAAAGAAAAAAGAAAAAAAAGAAUAAAAAGUAAAAAAAAUAAAGAAAAAAAUGUCUCUUCAAAAGACUAUUAUAUAUCGUUAUUAUUAUCGAAAAAGACCAACAAGCAGAAAAAAAGAAGAAGAAAAUAAAGGUUGCACUAGUAAAAUUAUAUUGCACUGUUUAAAAUAAACGUUACACUUUUUAAAAUAACAAUUACACUUUUUAAAAUAAAAAUUGCACUAUUUUGAUACAUAUUAUACUAUUUUAAAAAAAAUUACACCGUUUUUCUUUCUCUUUCUUCUCUUCCUCCUUUCCCUCAGCAAUAGUCUGCACGACGUCGGCGUCGAGAGAGUCCAC